rnacentral:rRNA from 1 species
AGUGAACGCUGGCGGUAGGCCUAACACAUGCAAGUCGAACGGCGGCACAGUAAGAGCUUGCUCUUACGGGUGGCGAGUGGCGGACGGGUGAGGAAUACAUCGGAAUCUACUUUUUCGUGGGGGAUAACGUAGGGAAACUUACGCUAAUACCGCAUACGACCUACGGGUGAAAGCAGGGGAUCUUCGGACCUUGCGCGAUUGAAUGAGCCGAUGUCGGAUUAGCUAGUUGGCGGGGUAAAGGCCCACCAAGGCGACGAUCCGUAGCUGGUCUGAGAGGAUGAUCAGCCACACUGGAACUGAGACACGGUCCAGACUCCUACGGGAGGCAGCAGUGGGGAAUUUUGGACAAUGGGCGCAAGCCUGAUCCAGCCAUACCGCGUGGGUGAAGAAGGCCUUCGGGUUGUAAAGCCCUUUUGUUGGGAAAGAAAAGCAGCAGGUUAAUACCCCGCUGUUCUGACGGUACCCAAAGAAUAAGCACCGGCUAACUUCGUG